CACACCGCCCGUCACACCAUGGGAGUUGGCUUUACCCGAAGACGGUGCGCUAACCAGCAAUGGAGGCAGCCGGCCACGGUAGGGUCAGCGACUGGGGUG
rnacentral:rRNA from 1 species